rnacentral:rRNA from 1 species
UACAGAGGGUGCGAGCGUUGUCCGGAAUUAUUGGGCGUAAAGAGCUCGUAGGCGGUCUGUCGCGUCGGCUGUGAAAACCCGAGGCUCAACCUCGGGCCUGCAGUCGAUACGGGCAGACUAGAGUGCUGUAGGGGAGACUGGAAUUCCUGGUGUAGCAGUGAAAUGCGCAGAUAUCAGGAGGAACACCGGUGGCGAAGGCGGGUCUCUGGGCAGUAACUGACGCUGAGGAGCGAAAGCGUGGGGAGCAAACAGG